rnacentral:misc_RNA from 1 species
AAGCAAAAAAAAAAAAAAAAAAGAUACUAUUAUGAGAAAAAAAAAUUACAGAAAAAGACAUCUAAAGCCACCCUCAACUAAAAACUUCAUAGAAUUUCUCAAUGACAAGUAAACCUGAGUCAAUUGACUCCAAUGGAUCCUUCCUAAGACGGUGUCUUAAACAGUUGGGGAUGACAGUAGCAAUAUCCUCUGCUGUGACAUUAUCUCUACCCUUCAGAGCAGCAAGAGCUUUUGCAGCUCUGUUAGUCACAAUGUCCCCUCUCAAUCCAUCCACAUUCAGCUCUGCACAAACCUUGGAGAUUUUUACCUUGAGAUCAUGAUCUAUCUGCACACAAGAAAGAGACGUUCUAGCUGAAGCAAUCUGUUGCUGUAGCUUCUCUUGCUCUGCCUUGUAAGAAUCACGGAAUUCUUUUGGGUUUUUAUCAAACCGAGCUCUUUCUUCCACUAUCUUCACUCUGAGCUCUGCAUCUUUCACUGUUCCUACUUGUGCAUGCAUCCCAAAUCUAUCAAGUAGCUGUGGCCUGAGCUCCCCCUCUUCAGGAUUGCCAGAGCCAAUCAAAAUAAACCGUGCAGGAUGUGAAAUUGAAAUACCCUCUCUUUCCACAGUGUUCCAUCCUGAGGCAGCAGAAUCCAAAAGAACAUCCACUAAGUGGUCAUCCAAAAGGUUAACUUCAUCCACAUAAAGAAUCCCUCUAUUAGCUUUAGCAAGAAGGCCAGGCUCAAAUGCCUUGACACCCUCUGUGAGAGCCUUUUCAAUGUCAAUUGUACCGCAAACCCUAUCCUCUGUAGCACCUAACGGCAAAUCAACCAUAUUAAUCUUGGCAAGCACAACUUGAAGCUCCUCCCCUUUCAUGAUGCUCUCCCUGACUUCUACACCCAUGGACUCUGGAUCUCCUGGAUCUGAGUUAUAAGGAUCACCGAAAACUACCUUAAUUUCAGGAAGUAAAUCCACCAGGGACCUAACAGUAGUAGACUUCCCUGUUCCUCUAUCACCCAUAAUCAUGACACCUCCAAUCUUGGGAUCAAUCACAUUUAACAGAAGGCACAGUUUCACCUCAUCCUGUCCUACUAGAGCAGCAAACGGAUACACUCCACUGAGAACUAUUCAUUAUUCAUGCUAUGCGCAAUUGCUCAUUUUCUUACAAAGAAAGUUAUCUUCAAUUGAUGCAAUUUAUACUUUUACCUUUCAGCAAGUCUUUCUAAGUAAUGUAUUAUUUCAUGGCCAUAACACAGCUCCCACGCACAAACACACAUAUAUAUAACGAGGAUAAAAUAAAGAAA